rnacentral:misc_RNA from 1 species
GAUGAAGAACGCAGCGAAAUGCGAUACGUAAUGUGAAUUGCAGAAUUCAGUGAAUCAUCGAGUCUUUGAACGCACAUUGCGCCCCCUGGUAUUCCGGGGGCAUGCCUGUCCGAGCGUCAUUGCUGCCCUCAAGCACGGCUUGUGUGUUGGGCCCCGCCCCCCGGCUCCCGGGGGGCGGGCCCGAAAGGCAGCGGCGGCACCGCGUCCGGUCCUCGAGCGUAUGGGGCUUCGUCACCCGCUCCGUAGGCCCGGCCGGCGCCCGCCGGCGACCCCCCUCAAUCUUUUCAGGUUGACCUCGGAUCAGGUAGGGAUACCCGCUGAACUUAAGCAUAUCAAUAAGCGGAGGA